UACGUAGGGGGCUAGCGUUGUCCGGAUUUAUUGGGCGUAAAGAGCGUGUAGGCGGCCAGGUAGGUCUGCUGUGAAAACUCGAGGCUCAACCUCGAGACGUCGGCGGAAACCAUCCAGCUAGAGUCCGGAAGAGGAGAGUGGAAUUCCUGGUGUAGCGGUGAAAUGCGCAGAUAUCAGGAAGAACACCCGUGGCGAAAGCGGCUCUCUGGGACGGUACUGACGCUGAGACGCGAAAGCGUGGGGAGCGAACAGG
rnacentral:rRNA from 1 species